rnacentral:tRNA from 1 species
UCCCUGGUGGCUCAGUAGUUAAAGCAUCUGCCUCCAAUGCGGGAGACCCAGGUUUGAUCCCUGGGUCGGGAA